rnacentral:rRNA from 1 species
AGUGGGGAAUAUUGCGCAAUGGGCGGAAGCCUGACGCAGCGACGCCGCGUGAGGGAUGACGGCCUUCGGGUUGUAAACCUCUUUCAGCAGGGACGAAUGUGACGGUACCUGUAGAAGAAGCACCGGCCAACUACGUGCCAGCAGCCGCGGUAAUACGUAGGGUGCGAGCGUUGUCCGGAAUUAUUGGGCGUAAAGAGCUCGUAGGCGGUCUGUCGCGUCGAAUGUGAAAACCCGGGGCUCAACUCCGGGCUUGCAUUCGAUACGGGCAGGCUAGAGUUCGGUAGGGGAGUCUGGAAUUCCUGGUGUAGCGGUGAAAUGCGCAGAUAUCAGGAGGAACACCGGUGGCGAAGGCGGGACUCUGGGCCGAUACUGACGCUGAGGAGCGAAAGCGUGGGGAGCGAA